GACGAACGCUGGCGGCGUGCCUAAUACAUGCAAGUAGAACGCUGAAGCAGGAGCUUGCUCUUCUGGAUGAGUUGCGAACGGGUGAGUAACGCGUAAGUAACCUGCCUGGUAGCGGGGGAUAACUCUUGGAAACGAUAGCUAAUACCGCAUAACAGUAGAUGUUGCAUGACAUUUACUUAAAAGGUGCAAUUGCAUCACUACCAGAUGGACCUGCGCUGUAUUAGCUUGUUGGUGGGGUAACGGCCCACCAAGGCGACGAUACAUAGCCGACCUGAGAGGGUGAUCGGCCACACUGGGACGGAGACACGGCCCAGACUCCUACGGGAGGCAGCAGGAGGGAAUCUGGGGCAAGGGACGGAAGACUGACCGAGAAACGCCGCGUGAGUGAAGAAGGUUUUCGGAUCGGAAAGCUCCGUUGUAAGAGAAGAACGCGGGUGAGCGUGGAAAGUUCACACUGUGACGGUAUCUUAGCAGAAAGCGACGGCUAACUACGUG
rnacentral:rRNA from 1 species